UUCUAAAUUUUUCACUGUAAGGUAGGUUUGUUCUAUCUGAAAUUUGGUAAUUUGUCCUGUUGUAUCCUGUUAAAUUUUCGUCAACAGGAGCCAGAGGGUAAU